CACUUGUUCUCUAAAUAAGGACUUGUAUGAAUGGCCACACGAGGGUUUCACUGUCUCUUACUUCCAAUCAGUGAAAUUGACCUUCCCGUGAAGAGGCGGGAAUAUACUAAUAAGACGAGAAGACCCUAUGGAGCUUUAACUAAUCAGCCCAAAGAAAAAUAAACCAAACCACCAAGGAAUAACAAUACCCUCCAUGGGCUAACAGUUUCGGUUGGGGUGACCUCGGAGAAUAAAAAAUCCUCCGAGCGAUUUUAAAGAUUAGACCUACAAGUCAAAUCACUCUAUCGCUUAUUGAUCCAAAAACUUGAUCAACGGAACAAGUUACCCUAGGGAUAACAGCGCA
rnacentral:rRNA from 1 species